rnacentral:rRNA from 1 species
CCCUUAGAUGUUCUGGGCCGCACGCGCGCUACACUGAUGCAUUCAACGAGCCUAUCCUUGACCGACAGGUCCGGGUAAUCUUUGAAUCUGCAUCGUGACGGGGAUAGAUUAUUGCAAUUAUUAAUCUUCAACGAGGAAUGCCUAGUAGGCGCAAGUCAUCAGCUCGCGUUGAUUACGUCCCUGCCCUUUGUACACACCGCCCGUCGCUACUACCGAUUGAAUGGCUUAGUGAGCCUUUGGGAUUGGCAGCCAACACCGGCAACGGUAGCUGGCCGCCGAAAACUUAUGCAAACUUGGUCAUUUAGAGGAAGUAAAAGUCGUAACA